rnacentral:sRNA from 1 species
ACUUCGAAGAAAAAUAAACUAUUCAGUGAGUAGUGUUUUAAGAUCACCGUCCUCUUCCUAAAUAUUAAACUGAUUUUUUUUAUUACACCAAAGUAAAUCAAGUACAUCUAACAUGUAUGUCAGCACUUUUAUAAUUUGUUUGAUAUUUGGUGUUGCAAGCGCAAUUCUGAUACCUCCGUUCUGUGACCUGCUAGUAGUAGAUGCACCUUUAAAGUGCUACAAUGCCACUGAUUGUGAUUGUAAGUAGAACAGCCUAUUAAAAGUAUCACCGUUGAUAUAAAGAACACCAUCUGAACAAAUUUUUAAGCUUAUAGGGAGUGCCUGCGUCAGAAAUAAAAAUAUUAGUAAGUACUUAUUUAUAAAUCGAUGAGCAUGGCUAUGAUGUUUCGAAGACCUCCCAAAUAAAAUCCGUUGUCAGCUACACAUAUAGUA